rnacentral:rRNA from 1 species
CUCUGUGACUCCUACGGGAGGCAGCAGUGGGGAAUAUUGCACAAUGGGCGCAAGCCUGAUGCAGCCAUGCCGCGUGUAUGAAGAAGGCCUUCGGGUUGUAAAGUACUUUCAGCAGUGAGGAAGGCGGGUACGUUAAUAGCGUGCUCGUUUGACGUUAGCUGCAGAAGAAGCACCGGCUAACUCCGUGCCAGCAGCCGCGGUAAUACGGAGGGUGCGAGCGUUAAUCGGAAUUACUGGGCGUAAAGCGCAUGCAGGUGGUUUGUUAAGUCAGAUGUGAAAGCCCCGGGGCUCAACCUCGGAAUUGCAUUUGAAACUGGCAGACUAGAGUACUGUAGAGGGGGUAGAAUUUCAGGUGUAGCGGUGAAAUGCGUAGAGAUCUGAAGGAAUACCGGUGGCGAAGGCGGCCCCCUGGACAGAUACUGACACUCAGAUGCGAAAGCGUGGGGAGCAAACAGGAUUAGAUACCCUGGUAG